UGCCAUCAAACUAAAAGCAUAAUAUAAAAAAAAAAAUUAUGCUUAGCAUUUAUUUUUGUUGGGAUUCAUUAACCUUCCCACUGAGCUCCUGACUGACAUCCCUUCACGUUUGGUUCUGUGCCAGUUUCAAAAGCAAAGUAUGUCUUCAUGUUUUUCCUUCUGUUUUCUCAGUAAGUCCAAGUGGCAGCCAGGAAGAAGCUGGCCAAGACAGAGCAUCAGAAUCAGACCAAGAGCUGCCAUCCCUGCUUGAUGAGCCUGUGGCUUCUGAGAUGCCUGCUGGAUACAUUAAAGAUCUUCAAGCAGUGGAGAUGAGGAUAAUGGUGAAACUGGA